CAAACUUUUUUAGCAGUCUUUGCUCAAGAAGGGCGUUUCGUAGUGACGUCACUUGCAAAGAUCUCUAGUUAAAUCUUAGUUUUAAGUCUUUACCUAAAAUUUCUCAAGCAUCAAAACCUUCUACUGUUCUAGCUAUUUUUCUCGUCCAACUUCCCACCCCUUAAACUGAUUUCCGCUAUUUUCCUGUAUUAUUCUACCUUCAAAAAGUGAUCACCACACUGGGCAUUUAAACCUCAGUAUACCUUAAUCCGAUCCCGAGACUGGCUGGCCUUAAUUUUUUUGUACGUCACGCAUUCGUCACCACUUUCUUUCAUUGAGUGACCAACCAGCCAUCUUCACCUUCACGUUCCCAUAUACUGAAGAUUGCACUUUUGGAUUCGGUGCUCAUUGACUGAAUAUUUUCGCCAUUAUUAUGAAGACGAAUCAUUCGAACUCAAAGUCAAGAUUUUGUUUGAUAAAUUAAAAUAAAAGCUUCCUUGAUUA